AUGUCUCCGUACGCCGUCCUCGCCGCCGUGCUUCUCGCCUUCUGCUACGCCGUCUGGAAGGCUCGAGGCGGCGGCGGCAGCAGCAGGCUCCCGCCCUCGCCGCCGUCGCGUCCGCUGCUCGGCCACCUGCACCUCCUGGGCCGGCUGCCGCACCGCUCCUUGCGCGACCUGCACGCUCGGUACGGCACCGAUGGCGGCCUCCUGCUCUUGCAGCUCGGGCGCAGGCGGACGCUGGUGGUGUCCACGGCGGCCGCCGCGGCGGACCUGUACAAGAACCACGACCUCGCCUUCGCCUCCCGCGUGCCCAGCGCGCCGGUGGACAAGCUGACGUACGGCUCCAUCAACGUCUCCUUCUCGCCCUACGGCGACGCCUGGCGCCGCAGCAAGAAGAUGGCCGUCGUCCACCUCCUCUCCCCGCGCCGCGUCGACUCGUUCGCCUCCGUGCGCGCCGUUGAGGUGGCCGCCCUCGUCGCCGGGGCACGCCGCGCCGCGGAGGCGGGUGAGAUCGUGGAGCUGAGGGAGCUCCUGUGCGCCUACAGCAACGCGGUGGUUACCCGCGCGACGACCGGCGCCGCAGGGGCCACGGCGGAGAAGCUAAAGCAGCUUUUGGGUAACUCCGCAGCGUUCAUGUCGGGGCUCCAGGCAGAAGACGUGCUCCCCGGCGCGGCGGCGAAGGUUGUUAGGUGGGCGACGGGGCUCGAGAAGAGGCUCGACGCGGAGCUCGAACUGUGGGACAAAUUCCUAUCGGAGACAAUCGCCGAGCACCUUGAGAAGAAGAAGUGCGACGGCAGCGCAGGGGAGGAGGACUUCCUGGACGUCCUGCUUCGGCUGAGGGAAGAAGGCACCGCCGGACUCGAGCUCACCGACGAUCGCAUCAAAAGCAUCAUCAAGGACAUAAUAGCCGCCGGAACAGACACAUCGUCCCUCACGCUGGAAUGGGCCAUGGCGGAGCUGGUCGGGAACCCACAGGCAAUGGCCAAGCUGCAGGACGAGGUAACCCGAGCCACCGAAGGCAAACCGACCAUCGAGGAAGACGACCUGAGAAGGAUGGAGUACCUCAAGGCGGUGCUGAAGGAGGUGCUCCGGCUCCACCCGGCGGCACCGCUCCUCGUCCCGCACCAAUCGACCACGACGGCGGUCGUGCAGGGCUACGAGAUCCCGGCCGAGACGGCGCUCUUCGUCAACGCCUGGGCGAUCGGAAGGGACCCGGCGGCAUGGGGAGCGACGGCGGAGGAGUUCCGGCCGGAGCGGUUCCUGGGCGGCGGCGGCGCUGAGGGCGUGGACCUACGGGGGAACGACUACCAGCUCCUCCCGUUCGGCGCGGGUCGGCGGCUCUGCCCCGGCAUCGGCUUCGCGAUGCCGGUGCUGGAGAUCGCGCUCUCCAGCCUCGUGCGCCACUUCGACUGGGAACUCCCCGCCAGGGCGCGUCUGGACAUGAGUGAGGCGCCGGGGCUGACCACGCCGCCGCUGGCUUCGCUGCGACUCGCCCCCAAGUGCAGGGGGCAGCAGUAG
rnacentral:rRNA from 1 species